GACGAACGCUGGCGGCGUGCUUAACACAUGCAAGUCGAACGAUGAAGCCUAGCUUGCUAGGUGGAUUAGUGGCGAACGGGUGAGUAAUACGUGAGUAACCUACCUUUAACUCUGGGAUAAGCCCGGGAAACUGGGUCUAAUACCGGAUACGACCAAUCUCCGCAUGGGGUGUUGGUGGAAAGCGUUAUGUAGUGGUUAUAGAUGGGCUCACGGCCUAUCAGCUUGUUGGUGAGGUAACGGCUCACCAAGGCGACGACGGGUAGCCGGCCUGAGAGGGUGACCGGCCACGCUGGGACUGAGACACGGCCCAGACUCCUACGGGAGGCAGCAGUGGGGAAUAUUGCACAAUGGGCGCAAGCCUGAUGCAGCGACGCCGCGUGAGGGAUGACGGCCUUCGGGUUGUAAACCUCUGUUAGCAGGGAAGAAGAGAGAUUGACGGUACCUGCAGAGAAAGCGCCGGCUAACUACGUGCCAGCAGCCGCGGUAAUACGUAGGGCGCGAGCGUUGUCCGGAAUUAUUGGGCGUAAAGAGCUUGUAGGCGGUUUGUCGCGUCUGCUGUGAAGGCCGGGGCUUAACUCCGUGUAUUGCAGUGGGUACGGGCAGACUAGAGUGCAGUAGGGGAGACUGGAAUUCCUGGUGUAGCGGUGGAAUGCGCAGAUAUCAGGAGGAACACCGAUGGCGAAGGCAGGUCUCUGGGCUGUAACUGACGCUGAGAAGCGAAAGCAUGGGGAGCGAACAGGAUUAGAUACCCUGGUAGUCCAUGCCGUAAACGUUGGGCACUAGGUGUGGGGAACAUUCCACGUUUUCCGCGCCGUAGCUAACGCAUUAAGUGCCCCGCCUGGGGAGUACGGCCGCAAGGCUAAAACUCAAAGAAAUUGACGGGGGCCCGCACAAGCGGCGGAGCAUGCGGAUUAAUUCGAUGCAACGCGAAGAACCUUACCAAGGCUUGACAUAUACUGGACCGCAUCAGAGAUGGUGUUUCCCUUCGGGGCUGGUAUACAGGUGGUGCAUGGUUGUCGUCAGCUCGUGUCGUGAGAUGUUGGGUUAAGUCCCGCAACGAGCGCAACCCUCGUUCUAUGUUGCCAGCACGUAAUGGUGGGGACUCAUAGGAGACUGCCGGGGUCAACUCGGAGGAAGGUGGGGAUGACGUCAAAUCAUCAUGCCCCUUAUGUCUUGGGCUUCACGCAUGCUACAAUGGCCGGUACAGAGGGUUGCGAUACUGUGAGGUGGAGCUAAUCCCUAAAAGCCGGUCUCAGUUCGGAUUGGGGUCUGCAACUCGACCCCAUGAAGUCGGAGUCGCUAGUAAUCGCAGAUCAGCAACGCUGCGGUGAAUACGUUCCCGGGCCU
rnacentral:rRNA from 1 species